UACGGCUCAGUAACACGUGGAUAACCUGCCCUUGGGUCCGGCAUAACCCCGGGAAACUGGGGAUAAUUCCGGAUAACGCACAUAUGCUGGAAUGCUUUAUGCGUAAAAUGGAUUCGUCUGCCCAAGGAUGGGUCUGCGGCCUAUCAGGUAGUAGUGGGUGUAAUGUACCUACUAGCCGACGACGGGUACGGGUUGUGAGAGCAAGAGCCCGGAGAUGGAUUCUGAGACAUGAAUCCAGGCCCUACGGGGCGCAGCAGGCGCGAAAACUUUACAAUGCGGGAAACCGUGAUAAGGGGACACCGAGUGCCAGCAUCAUAUGCUGGCUGUCCAGGUGUGUAAAAUACACCUGUUAGCAAGGGCCGGGCAAGACCGGUGCCAGCCGCCGCGGUAACACCGGCGGCCCGAGUGGUGAUCGUGAUUAUUGGGUCUAAAGGGUCCGUAGCCGGUUUGGUCAGUCCUCCGGGAAAUCUGACGGCUCAACCGUUAGGCUUUCGGGGGAUACUGCCAGGCUUGGAACCGGGAGAGGUAAGAGGUACUACAGGGGUAGGAGUGAAAUCUUGUAAUCCCUGUGGGACCACCUGUGGCAAAGGCGUCUUACCAGAACGGGUUCGACGGUGAGGGACGAAAGCUGGGGGCACGAACCGGAUUAGAUACCCGGGUAGUCCCAGCCGUAAACGAUGCUCGCUAGGUGUCAGGCAUGGCGCGACCGUGUCUGGUGCCGCAGGGAAGCCGUGAAGCGAGCCACCUGGGAAGUACGGCCGCAAGGCUGAAACUUAAAGGAAUUGGCGGGGGAGCACA
rnacentral:rRNA from 1 species